UACGUAGGGUGCGAGCGUUAAUCGGAAUUACUGGGCGUAAAGCGUGCGCAGGCGGUUUUGUAAGCCAGAUGUGAAAUCCCCGGGCUUAACCUGGGAAUGGCAUUUGGGACUGCAAGGCUCGAGUGCGGCAGAGGAGACUGGAAUUCCUGGUGUAGCAGUGAAAUGCGUAGAUAUCAGGAGGAACACCGGUGGCGAAGGCGGGACUCUGGGCCGAUACUGACGCUGAGGAGCGAAAGCGUGGGGAGCAAACAGG
rnacentral:rRNA from 1 species